rnacentral:rRNA from 1 species
CAGCAGCCGCGGGAAUACGUAGGGUGCAAGCGUUGUCCGGAAUUAUUGGGCGUAAAGAGCUCGUAGGCGGUUUGUCGCGUCUGCUGUGAAAUCCCGAGGCUCAACCUCGGGCUUGCAGUGGGUACGGGCAGACUAGAGUGCGGUAGGUGAGAUUGGAAUUCCUGGUGUAGCGGUGGAAUGCGCAGAUAUCAGGAGGAACACCGAUGGCGAAGGCAGAUCUCUGGGCCGUAACUGACGCUGAGGAGCGAAAGCGUGGGGAGCGAACAGGAUUAGAUACCCCGGUAGUCCCUGUCUCUUAUAC